UGGGGUAUAGCUCAGUGAUAGAGCAUGUGCUUAGUAUGCACAAGGUCCUGGGUUCAAGCCCCAACAUUGCUU
rnacentral:tRNA from 1 species